UGCGUAGACGGUUGCGUAAGUCGGAUGUGAAAUCCCCGGGCUCAACCUGGGAAUUGCAUUCAAGACUGCAUAGCUGGGGUGCGGAAGAGGGAAGCGGAAUUUCCGGUGUAGCGGUGAAAUGCGUAGAUAUCGGAAGGAACAUCAGUGGCGAAAGCGGCUUCCUGGUCCAGCACCGACGUUCAGGCACGAAAGCGUGGGGAGCAAACA
rnacentral:rRNA from 1 species